rnacentral:rRNA from 1 species
UACAGAGGUCUCAAGCGUUGUUCGGAUUCAUUGGGCGUAAAGGGUGCGUAGGCGGCGCCGGUAAGUCGGGUGUGAAAUUCCCGGGCUCAACCUGGGGGCUGCACUUGAUACGUAUGGACUGGAGUGGGGAAGAGGGUCGUGGAAUUCCGAGUGUAGAGGUGAAAUUCGUAGAUAUCGGGAGGAACACCAGUGGCGAAGGCGGCGACCUGGACGGA